AUGACGCUACUCAGCUGGAACUGUCGGGGCAUAGGGCAACCACACAUAGUUCGAGAACUUGAGUGCCUAGUGCACACCCUCAAGCCCAAGUUGUUUUUUUUAUCAGAGACACGGCAAAGUAAUGAGUACAUGAAUAAGUUAAGGUGGGGACUAGGUCUCAAGCACUGUAUAAUGCAGCCGGGCGCAAGUAAAAGUGCCGGUAUUGCAUUGUUCUUUGAUGAAAGCAUUGAAAUAAAAGAACUUGCCGUUGGCCCUAGGUACAUCGAUGUGUUAGUACGCCUAAAUCCCAAUGGCAUACAGUGGAGAGGUACCUUUGUACGGUGA
rnacentral:rRNA from 1 species